AGCGAACGCUGGCGGCAGGCCUAACACAUGCAAGUCGAACGAAGUCUUCGGACUUAGUGGCGGACGGGUGAGUAACACGUGGGAACGUGCCUUUAGGUUCGGAAUAACUCAGGGAAACUUGUGCUAAUACCGAAUGUGCCCUUCGGGGGAAAGAUUUAUCGCCUUUAGAGCGGCCCGCGUCUGAUUAGUUAGUUGGUGAGGUAAAGGCUCACCAAGGCGACGAUCAGUAGCUGGUCUGGGAGGAUGAUCAGCCACAUUGGGACUGAGACACGGCCCAAACUCCUACGGGAGGCAGCAGUGGGGAAUCUUUCGCAAUGGGCGAAAGCCUGACGCAGCCAUGCCGCGUGAAUGAUGAAGGUCUUAGGAUUGUAAAAUUCUUUCACCGGGGACGAUAAUGACGGUACCCGGAGAAGAAGCCCCGGCUAACUUCGUGCCAGCCGCCGCAGUAAAAC
rnacentral:rRNA from 1 species